rnacentral:rRNA from 1 species
GAUGAACGCUGGCGGCGUGCCUAAUACAUGCAAGUCGAGCGAACAGAUGAGGAGCUUGCUCCUCUGACGUUAGCGGCGGACGGGUGAGUAACGCGUGGAUAACCUACCUAUAAGACUGGGAUAACUUCGGGAAACCGGAGCUAAUACCGGAUAAUAUAUUGAACCGCAUGGUUCAAUAGUGAAAGACGGUUUUGCUGUCACUUAUAGAUGGAUCCGCGCCGCAUUAGCUAGUUGGUAAGGUAACGGCUUACCAAGGCAACGAUGCGUAGCCGACCUGAGAGGGUGAUCGGCCACACUGGAACUGAGACACGGUCCAGACUCCUAAGGGAGGCAGCAGUAGGGAAUCUUCCGCAAUUGGCGAAAGCCUGACGGAGCAACGCCGCGUGAGUGAUGAAGGUCUUCGGAUCGUAAAACUCUGUUAUUAGGGAAGAACAAAUGUGUAAGUAACUAUGCACGUCUUGACGGUACCUAAUCAGAAAGCCACGGCUAACUACGUG